AAGGGGAGUGAAAUAGAACCUGAAACCGUGUGCUUACAAGUAGUCAGAGCCCGUUAAUGGGUGAUGGCGUGCCUUUUGUAGAAUGAACCGGCGAGUUACGAUUUGAUGCAAGGUUAAGCAGUAAAUGUGGAGCCGUAGCGAAAGCGAGUCUGAAUAGGGCGUUUAGUAUUUGGUCGUAGACCCGAAACCAGGUGAUCUACCCUUGGUCAGGUUGAAGUUCAGGUAACACUGAAUGGAGGACCGAACCGACUUACGUUGAAAAGUGAGCGGAUGAACUGAGGGUAGCGGAGAAAUUCCAAUCGAACCUGGAGAUAGCUGGUUCUCUCCGAAAUAGCUUUAGGGCUAGCCUCAAGUGAUGAUUAUUGGAGGUAGAGCACUGUUUGGACGAGGGGCCCCUCUCGGGUUACCGAAUUCAGACAAACUCCGAAUGCCAAUUAAUUUAACUUGGGAGUCAGAACAUGGGUGAUAAGGUCCGUGUUCGAAAGGGAAACAGCCCAGACCACCAGCUAAGGUCCCAAAAUAUAUGUUAAGUGGAAAAGGAUGUGGCGUUGCCCAGACAACUAGGAUGUUGGCUUAGAAGCAGCCAUCAUUUAAAGAGUGCGUAAUAGCUCACUAGUCGAGUGACACUGCGCCGAAAAUGUACCGGGGCUAAACAUAUUACCGAAGCUGUGGAUUGUCCUUUGGACAAUGGUAGGAGAGCGUUCUAAGGGCGUUGAAGCAUGAUCGUAAGGACAUGUGGAGCGCUUAGAAGUGAGAAUGCCGGUGUGAGUAGCGAAAGACGGGUGAGAAUCCCGUCCACCGAUUGACUAAGGUUUCCAGAGGAAGGCUCGUCCGCUCUGGGUUAGUCGGGUCCUAAGCUGAGGCCGACAGGCGUAGGCGAUGGAUAACAGGUUGAUAUUCCUGUACCACCUAUAAUCGUUUUAAUCGAUGGGGGGACGCAGUAGGAUAGGCGAAGCGUGCGAUUGGAUUGCACGUCUAAGCAGUAAGGCUGAGUAUUAGGCAAAUCCGGUACUCGUUAAGGCUGAGCUGUGAUGGGGAGAAGACAUUGAGUCUUCGAGUCGUUGAUUUCACACUGCCGAGAAAAGCCUCUAGAUAGAAAAUAGGUGCCCGUACCGCAAACCGACACAGGUAGUCAAGAUGAGAAUUCUAAGGUGAGCGAGCGAACUCUCGUUAAGGAACUCGGCAAAAUGACCCCGUAACUUCGGGAGAAGGGGUGCUCUUUAGGGUUAACGCCCAGAAGAGCCGCAGUGAAUAGGCCCAAGCGACUGUUUAUCAAAAACACAGGUCUCUGCUAAACCGUAAGGUGAUGUAUAGGGGCUGACGCCUGCCCGGUGCUGGAAGGUUAAGAGGAGUGGUUAGCUUCUGCGAAGCUACGAAUCGAAGCCCCAGUAAACGGCGGCCGUAACUAUAACGGUCCUAAGGUAGCGAAAUUCCUUGUCGGGUAAGUUCCGACCCGCACGAAAGGCGUAACGAUUUGGGCACUGUCUCAACGAGAGACUCGGUGAAAUCAUAGUACCUGUGAAGAUGCAGGUUACCCGCGACAGGACGGAAAGACCCCGUGGAGCUUUACUGUAGCCUGAUAUUGAAAUUCGGCACAGCUUGUACAGGAUAGGUAGGAGCCUUUGAAACGUGAGCGCUAGCUUACGUGGAGGCGCUGGUGGGAUACUACCCUAGCUGUGUUGGCUUUCUAACCCGCACCACUUAUCGUGGUGGGAGACAGUGUCAGGCGGGCAGUUUGACUGGGGCGGUCGCCUCCUAAAAGGUAACGGAGGCGCUCAAAGGUUCCCUCAGAAUGGUUGGAAAUCAUUCAUAGAGUGUAAAGGCAUAAGGGAGCUUGACUGCGAGACCUACAAGUCGAGCAGGGUCGAAAGACGGACUUAGUGAUCCGGUGGUUCCGCAUGGAAGGGCCAUCGCUCAACGGAUAAAAGCUACCCCGGGGAUAACAGGCUUAUCUCCCCCAAGAGUUCACAUCGACGGGGAGGUUUGGCACCUCGAUGUCGGCUCAUCGCAUCCUGGGGCUGUAGUCGGUCCCAAGGGUUGGGCUGUUCGCCCAUUAAAGCGGUACGCGAGCUGGGUUCAGAACGUCGUGAGACAGUUCGGUCCCUAUCCGUCGUGGGCGUAGGAAAUUUGAGAGGAGCUGUCCUUAGUACGAGAGGACCGGGAUGGACAUACCUCUGGUGUACCAGUUGUCGUGCCAACGGCAUAGCUGGGUAGCUAUGUGUGGACGGGAUAAGUGCUGAAAGCAUCUAAGCAUGAAGCCCCCCUCAAGAUGAGAUUUCCCAACUUCGGUUAU
rnacentral:rRNA from 1 species